UUAUUUUUAAUUUCUUAAACAUCAACUUUUCACAACAGGUUUACUUCUGCUGCAUUUUUAGGGUUGAAAAGCCACAGGUUAUGAACAAUUGUGUACAUGUAUUAUAUUUCUUAGUUCCUUCCUCACCUGAAUAAUUUGACAGUGUGUGAUGAUGAAUAUGCAUUAUCGGUGCAUAUCACAAUGUGUGGACCUGGAGCUCCUGCAGUUUAGACUCAAAAGCACUUAAAAAAUCUUAUCAGAUGAAGAUCAGUACCAUAUAUUAUUGGAUCGUUGUACAAUACCUGUGAAAAACGCUACAUAAUGUUUGGCCAUGCUCAGGAGGGAGUGACUGAGUUAUGGGGUGCAGAAGAAGCACAAGCCAUCUUGACAUGAUGAGUCAUCCCCAACAGCGCUUGACGAUGGUUUCCUGCUUGAUGAGGAUGAAUCCAUAACUGAGCACUGAGGAUGAUACUCCUCUCAACACUGCAUUGUAUGAAGACAAAGCAAUGCAGUGUGGUUAGUCAUCGUCAACAACAGAACCAGACUCAGCUGACGUUGGAGACUGUCAAGUUGAGAUCACUGUGUCUAUCAGGGUUGAGUGUUACAUACUGAACGAAGUGAUCCAAAGCCAUUUAUUGUCAAUAUGCACGCUAAAGACCUUGGCAUUCUCUGUUUACAUUCAGACCAAAGCAAUGUCAAGACAUAUUUAAGAAUGAAAGUAUGUUUUAAUGAAGCAGGACACACUACUGUGUAUGUUCAUGUAAAGGAAGUUGCACAGGAACAUUUUUUGUGGAAACAAAUUUCUAGUGAUUAUCUUUUUCUCUUAAGCUCACCUGAGCACAAUGUGCUAAUGGUCCGUCAUGCGAUAUGUGUUGUGGGGCGUAAACAUUUGCCUUGUAAACAAUCUAGAGGCCACAUUAACUGUCCAUACAUCAUGAUAUUUGGUCAGAACAAUUUUCCCAAUGAUAUCUUGGACAAGUUCAAAAAUUGUUCCGGUGUAUUGUCCUCAUCAUGAAACUUGGUCAGAUGAUUUGUCCCAAUGAUAUCUUGGGCAAGCUCAAAAAUGGUUCCGGUUGGUUCAAAAACAUGGGCACCAGGGGGCGGGGCAUUUUUCCGUAUAAGUCUAUAUACAUAGCUAUCAAAAAAACCUUUUUAACACUCUAGAGGCCACAUUUAUUGUCCGGUCUUCAUGAAACUUGGUCAUACAAUGUGUCACAAUGAUAUCAAGGUUUAAAAACAUGGCCUCCAG